rnacentral:rRNA from 1 species
CAGCCGCCGCGGGAAUACGUAGGGUGCAAGCGUUAAUCGGAAUUACUGGGCGUAAAGCGUGCGCAGGCGGUUAUAUAAGACAGAUGUGAAAUCCCCGGGCUCAACCUGGGAACUGCAUUUGUGACUGUAUAGCUAGAGUACGGCAGAGGGGGAUGGAAUUCCGCGUGUAGCAGUGAAAUGCGUAGAUAUGCGGAGGAACACCGAUGGCGAAGGCAAUCCCCUGGGCCUGUACUGACGCUCAUGCACGAAAGCGUGGGGAGCAAACAGGAUUAAAUACCCGGGUAGUCCCUGUCUCUUAUAA